GUGACGCGGAGCAUUUUCUCACGUGCUUGUUGGCCGUGUCUAUGUCUUCUUUGGAGAAUGGCCCAUUCAUGUUCAGAGUAACUACUGAAAGGUAUGAAUUUAGUGCCACUGUGUUACCUAUACAGUCCUUGUUUCUGUGGAUUGUCUGUUUCUUUGGGCUCCCUCUUUGCUUACAAGAUACCCCUUACUAUUUCCUGCAGGGCUGGCUUGGUGGUCACAUAUUCUCUCAGUUUCCGUCUGUCCUGGAAGCUCUUUAUUUCUCCUUCUAUUCUGAAUGAGAGCCUUGCUGGAUAAAGCAUUCUUGGCUGCAGGUUCUUCUCAUUUAGGACCCUGAUUACAUCAGGCCAGCCCUUUCUGGCCUGCCAGGUCUCUGUGGAUGGGUCUGCUGUUAAUCGAAUAUUUCUCCCAUUGUAUGUUAGGAAUCUCUUAUCUUGAGCUUCUUUCAGGAUUUUCUCUUUAUCUCUGAAAUUUGCAAGCUUCACCAUUAUAUCAGGGUGUUGAUAAGUUUUUAUUGAUUUUGUGAGGGGUCCUCUCUUGGUUAUGAAUACCUGCUUCCUUUCCCAGAUUAGGGAAGUUCUAGCUAUGAUAUGCUCAAAUAUACCUUCUGGUCCUUUACUCUCUCUCUCUGCAUCCUCUGGAAUUCUAAUAAUAUGGACUUUUUUUUUUUCAAACUAUCACUUAAUUCUUGGAGUCUCUCCUUGUGGGCUCUUAGUUGUUUUUCUCUUUUCCUCAGCUUCUUUCCUUUCCAUCAACUUGUCUUCUCUGUCAUUUAUUCUCUCUUCUGCCUCAUUUGCCCUAGCUGUUAGAGCAUCCAGUUUAGACUGCAUCUCAGAGCAUUUUUAAUUUUGACCUGAUAAGAUCUCAUUUCUGUUCUAAGAGAUUCUCUACAGUCUUUUAUGCUCUUUUCAAGCCCAACUAGUGACUUUAUAAUUGUAAUCCUGGACUCUAUGUCUGACAUCUUGCUUAAAUCCAUUCUUUCUUUCAUGGUGAAUUCUUCCUUCUAGUCAUUUUGUCCAGUGAAGAAUGGCUGUGUGAUUCAGCAGAGUAAAAUUAUCAACCAUGACCCAAGCAAAAUACACACUAGAUAAUUCUGAAGACAUUAGGAGCCAGAAAUUAAAAGGAAAAAGACAAAGAAAACAAAAAAACAGAGAGAGAGAGAGAUUGAGAGAGAGAAAGAACAAAAAAAAAAAAAGUAUUGGAUUGGAAAGGAGAGAGAACAUAGUCUCUUGGACUGGACCAGGGCGAUCCACUUGGUUCUGAGUGUAUUUUGGUCUCUGUGUUUGAAGAUACUAAAUUCAAAAUCUAUUUAAAAAAAAAGCAAAAGUUAUAUAUAUGCAAAAAGAAAAUUGAAUACAGUGAAAGGAAGCCAAAGGUGAAGAAUAUAUCUGUAACAUGUCAUUGUAAAAUACAAAAAUCAAAAAAGAAAAGACCUAAAAAAGAGUUGAUAAAAUAAUAAAUUAGUUGAGAUAGGAAAAAACGAAAAAAUACUGGAAACUUAAUCUGAAAGAUAAGAGAGAAACCUCGAGUCCUAGAUACUAUUUUACCCCAGUCCUGGUGUUUUUCAGUGCUGUUUGGUCAGGAGACUUGCUGUUCCCCUGUCCUUCCAGCUGGUGUUCUGGGGGAGGACCUGCUGUGCUGAUCCUCAGGUGUGUGCACCUGUGUGGAGCUGUGCGGCCCCGUUCCAGACGGCUUGGUGUGAGCUGUUGGCGGUGUGAGGUCUCCACUGCCUGAAGGCUUUCCCUGCGUCUCUUGAGGGCGAAAGGGAAAAAAAAAGAAAGCCCAGGAGCCGGGAGGUCCCAGCGUGUGCCCACCUCCAGAUGCUGUUGCCCCCGUCCACCCAAACCCUGCUGGGGGCAGGUGGAAGGGACGCUGCUUUGUGCAAUUUGCAGGAUGCAGGGGAAGGUUCUGCACUCAUGUGGACCACCCCCCCCCCCCCACUUGGCUUGUGCACCUUGCAGGGCCCUGGCAUGGAGACCUUGACCCAGGGGGUGCGCCUCUGCACAGCCUCCUCCAGGGAAAGCAGGGCCCCUUGCUGCUCUCCUGGCCUCUGCACGACGCUACAGGUAGUGUAGACCAAGCUGAGCCUCCCGCAGACCUACGGCCCAAACCUGCAGCCCGCUGUGGGGCUGGGGCGGCCCCGUAGGCCGCAGGGCCUGUCCUCCCUGUGUCUUAGACAUACUGGGCCACCGCCGCUCCUGCACCUGCCGCCUCUGGGGCCCCGUCCAGGCAGGAGCACACUUCUAAAGGCCCAGGCUCAAGCCCCAGGGCUGAGCCCUGGUCCUGCAGCACCCCAAGGCUCCGUCCCCCGCCCGGCCUACCUUUUCCGCCCUCCUAUUUGUAGAGUUCCAAUGUUCUUCCUUCACGUCUCAGGUUGGGUUCUAGAGUGUGCAGGGUGGCCUGAGGGUCAUCUAGCCAAAUGUAGGGGACCAGAUGCCAUGAGGGCUUCUCCUCCGCCGGCAUCUUACCUCUCCGCCUUGGUUUUAGGUGUGAAGGCUGUUGUGCUACCGUCAGAAGUACUCACUGCUUUCACUUUUCUCUUCGGAAUUAGAGAUUGUGUCUAAAAACUGGGCAAGUUAUAAUAAAUCUUCAUCUUCACUGUUUUAGGGGGAAACAGUCUCUCAUAUGUUACUUCUUUGGGAAUUGAGGGUAUAAAAUUAUUUCAGGCUCCUCAAAAUAUUAAGAAAAAUUUAGAGGACGUAUCUAAUUUUGAUUGCUACGAUCUCACUGGCAUACAAGGUGUCAUUUUUAUAGUCUGAGGCUGACUGCGAAUUAGAAAUAAUUUUUUUUCCUAGUAUUAGGACAAAGUUUGAAAUAGUCACUUCUGUUUCUUUUGAGGGGCCUUCUUCAGGCAGUAAAAUAAACGAUUUCAUUCAAUUCUAAAUAUCCACAAUGAUUUUUUGUAAUAAGUAUUACUUAUUGUGGAAAAUUAGACUUUUCCCCUGGGCUCCUUUCACCAUUGCAUCCUGGGGUGAUCUGGCUAGAUCCCAGAAAUCAAGCAUCAGUUCUCCUGCUUAUUUCUAGAGUUUUAGAGAUUUUAUAGGAGGAAAAUUGCCUUUGAAAAUUUACCGAAAACUGAAUUGGCUACUGCAUAUUAAGUUAGGAAGCCUUAAACUGUGUGUGUAGGAUGAGAUCGUCCCACUGAAUGUGUGAAAAGACACUGUCAACAUGAAUCAGGAAAGAUGAAUACGUGGAAUCACAAGUCCCUCUUGCCCUUUGUGGAUUUAUUAGUCAAAAUAGCCUCGGUUAUGCUGUCCUAACAACUCCGGAUCUCAGAGGCCUAACAAAACAGAAGUUUAGCUCUCAUUUGUGUUGAAUGUCCAACACAGGUUGGUAGGGGAGUCUUUUUGUCCGAAUCAAGAAGGCCUCAUCUGGAGACACACUUCCAGAAACAAGCAAGUGGGGAAAAAGGAGUCUGCGGUGUCUUGCACCAGGAAUUAAAUGCUGCAAUUUAGAAGUGAGGAUGUCAUUUUGUCUCACAUCUCAUUGGCCAGAAACAGUCAUCUAACUUCCCUGAGCCGUAAAGGGACUGGAAAAUUCUGUAUUGUAAAAAUGAGGAGAACCAGAUACAGAGACCAAAUUUCACUGCUUGGUCAUGCUACGUAUCCAUGAUGGGUCAACAAAAAGAAUGCUCAGCAUGGACAUUCAGAGGAACAGUAAGGACUAUUUCAUUGCUACCUUUCAGCAUUGAGUACUAUUCCUUUUAAAAUGAUUUUCUUUUCAUGUUAUUUUUAGAAAUCUUCACAAUGUACAACACGUCUUAUGAAACAAAAUAAUUAACAAGAUAAGGUGAACUAUCUGGUAAUGGGUUUUAUUUUUGUUUUUUGGCAUCACAAAUUAAAAACAUCCAGGAAAAUGUCAACCAAUUUGAUUAUACUUAAGCUAUGAUUCAGAGGAAAGUACAGUGAAAUCGGAGGCCUCAUAGCUGGAGCUGCAAGAGAUUAAAAUAUUGUUUUGGAUGCAGUUUCUGUAAUAAGUUGCUGGAAUUAUUAUGACCACAUUUGGAGUCAUGUUUCCUUGAGGAUUGUUUGGCACUUUAGGGGAGGAAAAAGCUUUCCCUUCACCCUCCAAGUGUCCCUGGCCAGUAGGGACUAGCCAAAUUAACAGGAGAAAAGGAUAGAAAUGUAUUUAAUAUAAAUUUUAUGUGAUACAGGCAGGAGCCUUCAUAACGAGAUGUAGACCCAAAGAAAUGAUUAAACUUGAGUGGCUUUAUGUUAACGUUGGUGAAGAGUAUAAAGUCACGAAAAGUCGAAGAUGAUAAGACAGAGUGUGGGAAGGAAAGGAAAACAGCACGGCCUAUUCCUUCAGCGUCCUGUGUCCCUUUGUCUUGGGAGUCUGACAUACGCGGUGCGCCGAGGGGCUGCAUUCUGCGGGCAGCCUUGUCCUGCGUCCCGUCAGCACGUACGAGCUGCAAUAGUUGGAACACGCGAGGAUUUUAUUUAUUUAUUCAUGAGAGAUACAGAGACACGGGCAGAGAGAGAGGCAGAGAG